UAAACUUGGCCAGCACAUUCUGGUGGCAGCCCACAUAAAAGGACGUGGAAGAGGGAAACUUUCACUUUUUGCCUGCUGCCCUCACUCUUACUGGUAAGUUCUGUCCCGAUAUUAGAGCUAAAUUCUUCAGGCUUCCAAAGUAGCCUGAAGACCAGCAGCUCUCCAAGAAUCCUCCAGGCCCUUAGAACCAAAUUGGAGCUUGCAAAACAUCCAGCCUUAUGGACUGAGCGACUGCUGAUUCUCAGCCUCUCCAGUGUAGACACCAUCGUUGGACUACAAGAGCCACAGUAUAUGAUUUAGGAACAUAAAAUUGAAGACUUGGAAAGCAUCCACCACAGAGAGACUAAAACCAGAAUGACUGCAGAACCCAGAGUGGGAAUCCCAGGGGGACAUGCCGAGGGCUGGACCACCACUGUGGCUGGAAAUCUGAGUGGGUGUCAGAGAGGAGAUGUGAACUUCUGUAACACGCCGAACUGCUAAAAAUUCCUGGGACAUUUCCUUCCCCAAUAAACUGUCACAUAGCAAAGCUGUUUCUGAUGGGGUUGAAGUCCUGUGAAAACAAUAUGGAGACCUUCACGCUGCAGGUGCACGUGGUACCCAAGAUGAGCCCCUGAGGAUGGUCUCCUGCAGCAGUUAUCUGUGGCUCAGGCUGGCAUGGUUAGAAGACAAGAAAAGAAGAAAGACGAGCAUGCCUUGCUGCGGGAGAAGGGAAUCAGCCCAGACCCACUCCGUAAGUCCUCAGAACAAGGUCAUAAGGAGACAAUGAGGUAACAGAAAAGGUAGAAACAAAGGGAAAGCCACCUUAUGGUCAUUACCUCAUGUAAUUCCUGAAGGAGGGGAGGGGAAGAGCAUUGUUCCCAUUCUAUUAACCACAUUCCAGAGAAAUCAGAGAAUAGUGGAAGAAGAAAAUCACUCUAAUCCCAUAAUUGAAAUGAAACUAUUGUUUCUAUGUUGGCACUUACCCCACCCUGACAUGAUUUGUUAUUAUUUUUAUGAAAUUACAGAGUAAGUGGUACAAUUUAAUGGCCUCUGUUUUAAUUUUCAUUAAUCAUUAUAGCAGAUUCCGUUCCCAAGUUGCUGAAGUCUUCCAAAUCAUCACCUCCAGCAUCACAGGACAGCCCUUUCUGGCGAACGCUUACGCUGCCCUCUGAAUUCUACUUCUGCUUUGUUUUAAGGAAAAUUACAAUUUCAGAUUGUUUUAUUAAGAUAAAUAGCCCCAGUGGUUACGAGGCAAAGGACUGAGAGGAAGUGAGACCUUAGCCAUCGUGAGGUGCCUCGGGAACUUGGGAAUGAGAACCCAUUGAGAGUUUGCUAUAAUAACAGACCCGUAAUUGGUGACUGCAGCAAUUUGAGAUUUUGUUGCUGGAGGGGUCAGGGUAAAAGAAUGAAGCAGUAUUUAGGGGUCUACGUAGAUAGAGAGGUAACAACCAAAACUUGGGGGCUAGUGCUGGUCUACUUCUAUUAAUGCGCCUUCACCAUCACACUCUCAGAACUGCCAGCAGACUCAGGUGAAAGAGGAAUUUUAUUACAAAAACUUGGGCUGAACUUGAUUCCAUGUCAAGAGCAGGCUAUCAAAAGUUUGAAGGAUUCCUUAAGUAAGACUGGAUGUGGAACCCAUUUUGAUGCAGCUGCUUCCACGGGGCCGGGUCCCAGAAGACACACUUGGGCUAGACGAUGCAGGCCCGGGUUCCCCAGCUAGGGCCAGCAGAGGCAAGAACACCCAAAGCCUUCCCUUGCAGGCCAGACACCCUCAAGCUGAAGGCCCAGAGCUCCCCACCUGGGGAAGUGGAGGCUCGCCAAACUAUUUCCUGGAUUUUCAGAUAGCCUUGGGCUUACAGAAACGCCAUCAACUGUCACCAGUGACUGAUGUCAAGGACAGCAAAGGAAUGCGGUGUGCAAUGGAGGGGGCAGCAACUGGUCACUGCCAGGUGAAUGCAGACACCAGCAGAGCUGGGGACAGCAGGAGCCAGCUCUCCUUGCUGUUCCUGACUAGUGUUAGCUUCCAGGAGACUUUCCAUGCAGAUCCAUGUCUCAAAUUAGCCCUCAUGGCACCCAGACAGUCCAGAGCAGCUUUGUUUGUCCGUUUGUUUUUAUUGCAUGGAAAUCAAACCCAGGAGUUUGGAGGGGAUUUUUUCAGGAGUAGCUAAGUUACAAUGCUCUGCAAUAUCGUGUUACAAUGGAGGCAAAUUCACUGAAACAAAAUGAGAGGUUUCCUGUGCCAUACAGAAAAGCCAUCUCCAGGCUGCCAGGGCUGCUCUGGAGUCACCGUCUUCCUUCGGCUAGUGCGGAGAACCGUGCGCUGGCCUUCCUAGAUUGAACAGAGGCCUGGCCUUCUCACCUCCUCCCAGCCUCGGCUUAUUACCCACCUCCAGCCGCUUCGCCCUCAGAGAAGACCCAGUCACUUAGUUCUCAGCAAUGGGAGAAGACACUUUGACAUCUUCAGAAUAAAGGACUCUAUAAAUACAGAUGAUAGGAAAUCCUCAGCUCUGACAAAGACGCUUUGCAAAGACCAGAACAAACAACCAAAGCGCCAGUCCUGUGGCUCCACGCAUUAUUUUUAGACCAUCUCUCCUCGUUUAGAGCACACGUGCAAGAUGGGAGAGCUGGUGUUGGCUGCCAGUCAUAUUCCAUUUUAGUCCCCCCAGCCCCGGAAAGUGCUAGAUCCUUGAUUGUUUUUGCUAAAAACAUCCCAGAAUGGAUUUUACCGUCA